UAGGAUUUCCAUUAGAACCGCGGAAUUCCAAAGAAAUAAUUUGGAGCAAAAACUUAGCUGCAUUUUCACCAACGGCCAGAUUGAAAAAUUAAGGGAUGGAAACAAACGGCGAAAUUGGAAAGAAGAAGACAUAGCUAAGUCGAUCACGCUAUAUUCAACGAGCUCGAAAGCGUACAAACUCCUGUAUUCUUCGAAUAUGACUGCAAAAUGACGAAGGAAGAAUUGUUUAGCAUCUUGUCAAGUGUUAAAAAGUGCGCUUACAAUAUUGUUGACAUUUUAAGCGAUUUGGGUGGCUCAAAUAGAGGCGUAUAUAAUGUGGAAAAAUCUUGGUUUUCAGACAACGGAGACAGGAUUGUGGUUUUUGCUGAUGGGGGACACACUUAAUACUACUACAGAGAAAUCAUUUUUUGGAUAAGGGCUUUACUAUCAAUGGAAAAAUUGUUAGAAAACGCAUUAUUCUGAAGCUGCUCUCGCUUACGUCGAACGACCUCACCAUCACGCACAAAAUUUCCCAGAAGAAUUUGUCUGUAACAGGAGUAGAAAAGCAAAAGGUUAAACUAGCCACAAAAUUGUUCUCUCACACAAUUGUUCAAGCAAUAACUCGCGCGGCUAGUUUAGGUCUACUUCUUCUUAAUUGGCGUAGACACCGCUUUCGCGAUUAUAGCCGAGUUAACAACAGCGCGCCAGUCGUUUCUUCUUUUCGCUACGUGGCGCCAAUUGGAUAUUCCUAGCGAAGUCAGGUCCUUCUCCACUUGGUCCUUCCAGCGGAGUGGAGGUCUUCCUCUUCUUCUGCUUCCCCCGGCGGGUACUACGUCGAAUACUUUCAGAGCUGGAGUGUUUUCGUCCAUCCGGACAACAUGACCUAGCCAGCGUAGCCGCUGUCUUUUAAUUCGCUGAACUAUGUCAAUGUCGUCGUAUAUCUCGUACAGCUCAUCGAUCCAUCGAAUGCGAUAUUCGCCGUGGCCAAUGAGCAAAGGACCAUAAAUCUUUCGCAGAAUUUUUCUCUCGAAAACUCGUAACGUCGACUCAUCGGUUGUUGUCAUCGCCCAAGCCUCUGCACCAUAUAGCAGGACGGGAAUUAUGAGCGACUUAUAGAGUUUAACUUCUGUUCGUCAAGAGAGGACUUUACUUUUCAAUUGAAUACUCAGUCCGAAGUAACACCUGUUGGCAAGAGCAAUCCUGCGUUGGAUUUCCAAGCUGACAUUGUUGGUGGUGUUAAUGCUGGUUCCUAAAUAGACGAAAUUAUCUACAACUUCAAAGUUAUGACUGUCAACAGUGACGUGAGAGCCAAGUCGCGAGUGCGACGACUGUUUGUUUGAUGACAGGAGAUAUUUCGUUUUGCCCUCGUUCACUGCCAGACCCAUUUUCUGUGCUUCCUUGUCCAACCUGGAGAAAGCAUAACUAACUGCGCGGGUGUUGAGGCCGAUGAUAUCAAUAUCAUCGGCAUACGCCAGCAGCUGUACACUCUUAUAGAAGAUGGUGACUUCUAUAUUUAGUUCUGCAGCUCAAACUAUUUUCUCCAGAAGCAGGUUGAAGAAGUCGCACGAUAUGGAGUCGCCUUGUCUGAAACCUCGUUUGGUAUCGAACGGCUCGGAGAGGUCCUUCCCGAUUCUGACGGAGCUUUUGGUGUUGCUCAACGUCAGCUUACACAGCCGUAUUAGUUUUGCGGGGAUACCAAAUUCAGACAUCGCGGCAUAAAGGCAGCUCCUUUUCGUGCUGUCGAAAGCAGCUUUGAAAUCGACGAAGAGGUGGUGUGUGUCGAUUCUCCUUUCACGGGUCUUUUCCAAGACUUGGCGCAUGGUGAAUAUCUGGUCGGUUGUUGAUUUUCCAGGUCUGAAGCCACACUGAUAAGGUCCAAUCAGUUUGUUGACGGUGGGCUUUAAUCUUUCACACAAUACGCUCGAUAGAACCUUAUAUGCGAUGUUGAGGAGGCUAAUCCCACGGUAGUUGGCGCAUAUUGUGGGGUCUCCUUUUUUAUGGAUUGGGCAUAGCACACUUAAAUUCCAAUCGUAGGGCAUGCUUUCCUCCGACCAAAGUUAACAAAGAAACUGAUGCAUGCUCCUUAUCAGUUCUUCGCCGCCGUGUUUAAAUAGCUCGGCCGGCAAUCCAUCGGCCCAUGCCGCUUUGUUGUUCUUCAGGCGGGUAAUUGCUAUUCGAACUUCUUCAUGGUCGGGUAAUGGAACGUCUGCUCCAUCGUCAUCGAUUGGGGAAUCGGGUUCACCUUCUCCUGGCGUUGCGCGUUCACUGCCAUUCAGUAGGCUGCAGAAGUGUUCCCUCCAUAAUUUAAGGAUGCUCUGGGCAUCGGUCACUAGAUCACCUUUGGGGGUUCUACAUGAGUGUGCUCCGGCCUUGAAACCUUCUGUAAGCCGCCGCAUUUUUUCGUAGAAUUUUCGAGCAUUACCCCUGUCGGCCAGCUUAUCAAGCUCUUCGUACUCACGCAUUUCAGCCUCUUUCUUUUUCUGUCUGCAAAUGCGUCUCGCUUCCCUUUUCAACUCUCGGUAUCUAUCCCAUCCCGCACGUGUUGUGGUCGAUCGUAACGUUGCGAGGUAGGCAGCCUGUUUUCUCUCCGCUGCGACACGCCACUCCUCGUCGCACCAGCUAUUCUUUUGCACUUUCCGAAAACCAAUGGCUUCGGUUGCAGCUGUACGUAAGGAAUUUGAAAUGCCGUCCCACAGUUCCCUUUUACCGAGUUGUUGACGAGUGCUCUCAGAGAGCAGCAGUGCAAGCCGAGUAGAAAAUCGUUCAGCUGUCUGUUGUGAUCACAGCUUCUCGACGUCGAACCUUCCUUGUAUUUGUUGGCGUGCGUUUUUUGCUGCACAGAGGCGGGUGCGAAUCUUGGCUGCAACAAGAUAGUGGUCCGAGUCGAUGUUAGGACCUCGGAGCGCACGCAUAUCUAAAACACUGGAGACGUGUCUUCCGUCUAUCACAACAUGAUCGAUCUGGUUGGUAGUUUUUCGAUCCGGAGACAGCCAGGUAGCGUGAUGAAUCUUUUUAUGCUGGAAUCUAGUACUACGGAUAACCAUAUUUCGGGCUCCGGCGAAGUCGAUCAGCUUCAACCCAUUUGGGGAUGUUUCGUUUUGGAGGCUGAAUUUACCGACCGUAGUGCCAAAGAUACCUUCUUUGCCCACCCUGGUGUUAAGGUCGCCAAGCACGAUUUCUUGGACGGCGGUGAUGUCAGCCUUUAUUUUUGCGAGGACAUCAACCAGCUGGGCAGCGGCACCUUCCCAAUUAAUGGUCCGGACAUUCCAGGUGCAUGCCCUCAAAUCGUAGUCCUUAUGCCAUCGACUUUUCAAAAUUACAAAUGACUGGUUUGAUCUAAUGAAUGUUAGGGUGCCUAAAGAUGGAGUGAGGGAACGCUUGCACGCCUACGGUUUGGCUUUGAACAAGCAAAAUAAUCUACUGGAACAGAUGACGGAGAUGGUUUCAUCAAUGAGAGUCAUUGGUAAAAAUGGUUUGCUUCCAUUCCAAAAAGGUAUACUCCAAAGCAAUAAUCCUUUAAAAUUGCUGCUGGAUGACUUAAGACAGCAGUACAAAAUUGAUUACGUUUUGACCUACCGAUUAAGCCAGGACGUUUUGGAAAUUUUUUUUGGCAUAAUCAAGUCAAAAGGCGGUCUUCACGAUCACCCUGACAGGCAGGAGUUCAAAUAUAGGCUGCGUUCCUAUAUACUUGGUCACAACGAAGCAGCGAUCACGGAAGAAGGAAAUGUUGAAGUCGACAACACACCAGAUUUGGAAGGGAACUACUUACAUAUCUCUAACCGAUAAUAUUUUUCAACGUGUGUCAGUUGAUCUAAAUUCCACUGAAUAAAUUGAAAAAAAUGACGACUUGGAGAUUCUCAACAACGACGGGCUUGAAAAUUUGGCAGGGUACAUCUGCCACAAACUUGGUAAAGUUAACCCCGAAAUUUGUUCAAUUCAGAAAAUUGUUCGUCUUAUACUAAGGUGGAUCACCUAUCUGAAGGAGGACUCUCAAAAUCAACAAAUAUGUUGAUGGAGCAUAUGAGAGCCUUGCAAGCAGUAUUUGACGACUUAAAUGGUACUGAUUUGCAUGUACAUAUGUACAAAUUACGUCCAGAAGCACUAAGAUUUAAGUAAUUUUGUAAAUUGUAGCACCAAAGUAAAAUAAUUGUUUUUCAGAGCUACAAUGUAUUUUAGGAUUCGUUCCUUAAAUAAAAGCUAAAUUGAACAGUAAAAAAAGAAAAUUAAAUAAGACAACAAAUUGAUACUUGGUCACAAAAUA